GACAGAGGGUGCAAACGUUGUUCGGAUUUACUGGGCGUAAAGCGCGUGUAGGCGGCUUGGCAAGUCGGAUGUGAAAGCCCACGGCUCAACCGUGGAAGCGCAUCCGAAACGGCCUCGCUCGAGUCUCGGAGAGGAAGGUGGAAUGCUUGGUGUAGAGGUGAAAUUCGUAGAUAUGACAUAGAACACCAAUUGCGAAGGCAGCUCGUUACACGAAGAUUGACUCUGAGGCACGAAAGCGUGGGGAUCAAACAGG
rnacentral:rRNA from 1 species